AAAGAUGAAACAAAGAGAUGUACUCUCAGAAAAAGAAUUUCUGAGUAUAUGGAUAGAGCAGAAAACAUAAAGAAAUACUUGGAUCAAGAAAAAGAAGCUUGUGUUUUGUAGCUGGAAAGUAUCACAAGCAAAUUAAAAUAGAAGAGAAUGCCACAGGUUUCAGUUACGAGUCACUUUUUCAAGAAUACCUGAGUGAAACAGUUACAGAAGUUUGGAUAGAAGACCCUUAUAUUAGACAUACUCAUCAGCUGUAUAACUUUCUUCGCUUUUGUGAGAUGCUUGUUAAGAGACCAUGUAAAGUAAAAACGAUUCAUCUUCUCACCUCUUCUGAGGAAGGCAUUGGGAAAGAGCAGCAAAGUAGUGGCCUGCAAGAAAUAAAAGAGUCACUCAGGAAUCAUGGAGUGCUGUUGGAUUUAGAAUAUUCUUCUUCAAUACAUGACCGAGAAAUUAGAUUCAACAAUGGAUGGAUGAUUAAAAUCGGAAGGGGACUUGAUUAUUUUAAGAAACCGCAGGGUCGUUUUUCCCUUGGAUAUUGUGAUUUUGAUUUAAGACCAUGUCAUGAAACAACUGUGGACAUAUUUCAUAACAAGCACACAAAAAAAAUAUGAUAGGUGGUAGCCUAAUUUAUAUUAUAUAUUUCUACUUUAAAUUAAUGCUGGAUUUUUAAUUUUUUUUACUUUGGACAGAUCAUUCCUAUAAUGUAUGAAUUUAACAAUAAACUUUUACAUUUCUACUAAUUUAUGGGUUCAUUGUUCAAAUACGACCAAUCCUAAGUAUUUUUUUUAUAAAUCUGUUACUCAUUAGAUUUAUAGUCUUUCAAAUCAUGUGGUUCAUUUAAACAUUUUAACAGAUUUUCUCUUAUUUGGCUGUUAGUGAAUCAGAACAUGAUGAGUACCUAUUAAGAAGAGGAAUUGGAUGCUUUAAUCUUGCCCCUGGGACAAUGUAGAAUCUAGGAGGAAAAAUCAUGGGUUAGAGUACUCUUACAAGGUAGAUGGGCUUAUGAGUCUAGUAACCAGAAAAAAUAACCGAUGUUACUUUUGUUACAAUUAAGUGUCUUUGGGAGACAUUUGUGGCAUUGACUUAUCCAGUAUUACCUAACUCCAUAAAGGCAGAUCAACCCAUUGAGUGAUACCAGAUGUGUUUUGCAGCUCAUUCAACUUUGACUGGUAUAUUUGUAAAGCUUUGAAGCCUGGAUCAACGUCCUGAGUAAGCGCAUGCAUUGAGAUGCCCAUGGAGUGGCUGGGGACAGACUAUGUUCUGUGGAGGUAGACUGGGAGGCGGGAUGCAGGUGGAGCUGAUGGGCGGUCCAGAAGCUUAAAGAAUAAACUAAGCCAGUGUCUGCAGUGGGGAAACAGAGUAACGCUGUUGGAACUGCACCUCUGAGCUUCACAUCUGGAGAAAACUGAAGAUUACAAUUGAGAUUCAACACUGUAGAGAAACAAAGGCAGUGAGGCCAUGGGCAUGAAGUUGGGCAGAGUAGCCCCAGUGGCCUUGAACACCAGGUUUAUGUUUUGCCUUUGUAGACUAGCAUGUGUAUGAUUGAGUGGGCAUAAAAGACCAGGAAGAGCUUCCAGAAAAACCCCUGAUGUAUUUCUUUUUCUUUCUUUCUUUUCUUUUCUUUCUUUUUUUUUUUUUUUUUUUUUUGUCUUUUGUCUUUUGUUUUUUUAGGGCUGCACUAGCAGCAUAUGGAUUUUCCCAGGCUAGGGGUCAAAUCUGAGCUGUAGCUGCCAGCCUACACUAUAGCCAUAGCAAUGCAGGAUCUUAGCUGUCUGCAACCUACACCACAACCACAGCAACACAGGAUCUUCAACUCACUGAGCAGGGCCAGGGAUCAAAUCCAUGUCCUCUUGGACAUUAACUACUGAGCCAUGAUGGGAACUCCUCUGAUGUAUUUCUUUGAUGUUUUCAGGUUUAGGUGCUAAUGUUGAACCUUAAAAUACUCAAACCAGUUUUGCCACCUUCAUUAUAUGGAAUAGUAAUUCCAUAUUCUUAGGGUCUCUGGAGAACACUUGGGCAAAUGCUGGACUUGAUUGCAAGUUACUUUCUGCAAAAUAUCCUGGCUUCUUUUGCCAGAUACUCAUCAUGUGGAAGUAGAGUGACUUUUCAGUCAGGUGAGAACACAUAUUAGACCUCCUUACUUUCAUGUUAAAAUAACCCUUAUUUCUAGAACAUAUGUACCUGUCACUAUAGAGAAUCAGCAGUCCACAGCCUUGUGAAAUUGACUUUUAUCCAGCUCUCAUAGAGAUCCUACCUAAGUUGGAGUUCCCAUCAUGGCUCAGCAGUGAUGAAUCUGACUACUAUCCAUGAGGACUCGAGUUUGAUCCCUGCCUUGCUCAGUGGGUUAAGGAUCUGGCAAUGCCAUGAGCUGUGGUGUAGGUCGCAGACACAGUGCAGAUCUGGCAUUGCUGUGGCUGUGGUGUAGCCCAGUGGUUCAACCCCUAGCCUGGAAACUUGCAUAUGCCACAGGUGAGGCCCUAAAAAGACAAAAAAGGAAAACAGACAAAAAAAAAAAAAAAAUCCUACCUAAGAAAUAAUCAUAUUUAAGGAAGAGAGCUGAUGGACAUGCUAUCCAUUAUUCUGGCUCUUUGAAGUUCUAUCCCCAAAUCCAAUUAGAUACCAGAAGGCUACCAGAGGCAAGUUUACUUAUUAAAUGUAUCAGUAAAUGUGCAAGAACUGUAUAAAAAAAAACUAAAAGCUUUAUGGAGGGAGUAAAAGAAAAUUAGGGUAACUGGAAAGACAAAUAAUAUUCCUGAAUGGGAGGGCUUGGUAAAAUGUCAGUUCUCCCUAAGUUAGUUUUUAAGUUAAAAUAACAAAAGAGAAUAACACUAGGAGACUUGCUUGACUAUCUAUAAAGACAUAAAUCUACAAGAUAUGUGUUUUUAAAUAUUUGGGCAUAGGAAUGGAAAAAUAAGUCAUUGGGAUACAGUGAGUCCAGAAACAUAUCAGAGAGAAAGAAAGCAUGUGUGUGAGCAUAUAAUAGAUAAUAAAGCUCACACUAGUGGGGAAUGAGUAGGCUAGUCAAUAACAUUACAUCUUUACCUUAUUCCACAUAGAGAAAUUUUUCUAGAUGGGUUUAAAUUUGGAAAUAUCCAAAUCCUUUUUUGGAAACCUCACUAAAUGUACUAAAUGUAACAGAAAACCUGGAAAUUAUAAAGGUAAGAAAGCAAAAAAUUUGGUCAUAUAAAUGUUUUAAAUUUAAGUAAAGGUAACCAUAAAAAAAAAAAAAAAGUUAAAAACAGGAGAUCAGGAGUUCUCGUCGUGGCUUAGUGGUUUAAGAACCCAACUAGUAUCCAUGAGGAUGUGGGUUUGCUCUCGGGCCUCCCCCAGUAGGUUAAAGAUCCGGCAUUGCCUCGAGCUGUGGCCUAGGUCACAGACCUUGGCUUGGAUCUGGCAUGGCCGUGACUGUGGCCUAGGCCAGCAGUUGCAGCUCUGAUUUGACCUCUAGCCUGGGAACUUCCAUAUGCCACAGGUGUGGCCCGAAAAAAGAAAAACCAUAGGAGAUCUGCUUUACAACAUGUAGAAAAAGGGUUAAUUGUCCUAACAUGCAAGGAAGAUCACAUUUUCAGCUAGUUCAUCCUCACUGCAGCCUUGGAGUAGUCUCUCCCCCUCCACUGCUCCAUUUUGCAGCACAUACAUCCCCAUCAAGAUACACACUAAUUUUUUUGUUCUUCAUGAACAAAUUUCUUGGGGUUCUCUACACAGUUUUCCCCCCAUUUCCUCAUCACCUAUUCACAAUUCAGCUCACUUCAACCCAGCUACAAUCACUCCAUGGAAAUUGCUCUCAUGAGUGAACUUCAUAGCCAAUGGACACUUUUUUUUUUUUCAUUUUUAGGGCCACACCUUCAUCACAUGGAAGUUCCCAGGCUAGGGACUGAGUCAGAGCUUUAGCUGCUGGCCUUUGCCACAGCCACAGCAACACCCUGUGUCUGUGACCUAUGUUGCACCAAGCAGCAACUUGGGAUCCUUAACCAGCUGAACAAGUGCAGGGAUCAAACAUGCAUCCUCAUGGAUGCUAGCUGGUUUGUAAUCCACUGAGCCACAAGGAGAACUCCUGCCAAGGGGCACCUUUUAACCAUGUUACUUGACCUUUUGGUAGUUAUUAGACCAAUUGGCCCCUCCCUUCUUGAAACUCAACUUCAUGUAAUACACUCUUUUCCUCUACCCUAUCUUUAAAACAUUGUGGAGUAUUCCAUGGAGUUCCCAUUGUGGCACAGUGGAAACAAAUCCAACUAAUAACCAUGAGGUUGUAAGUUCCAUCCCUGGCCUUGCUCAGUGGGUUAAGGAUCCAGUGUUGCUGGGAGGUUUGGUAUAGGUUGCUGGCUGCUAUAACUGAUUUGAUCCCUAGCCUGGGAACCUUCAUAUGCUGCAGGUGCAGCCCUAAAAAGCAAAGAAAAAAAAAUUGGCAUCUUCCUAAACUUGUUUUUAGUAAAAACUUAUGAGAGGUCUUCAGCUAUAAGAAUUACUCCUGUGGCCUGAUGAGUAGAUGCUAAUGUGGCUGCAGCUUUAGGAACUGGACCUGGUUGUGCAUACCUUAUAUGUUGGUCAGGGGAGGAAGCACCAUCAGGUGCAAGGAGAUGGAUAGGGCAAGAUAUGCCAGACCAGGACUCCACCUUCUCCCCUUUUUCAAGUGUGUUUUUCUCUUCUGGGUCCAGUACCUGGGUGGGUCAGGUUUGCCACAAGACAGCAGCAUCCUGGUGGAGAAUGAGUUUUUUCCCCCUUACCCAGGGGUGCAGAGUAACUCACUCAUCUUGGGGGGACAUCCCAUUGCUAACUCCCAUCCCAGGUGUGCUGGGGCCUGGUGUACUCAGCAGCAUCACAUGUAGAUCACAGUGAGAGUCAGGGCAAUGGCUGCCUCCUUCAAUCUACAUACUUUUAGUUUUUUCUUUUAAUUUUAAAAAUUAUGUUGAUUGACAAUGUUCUGACAAUUUCUGCUGUCCUUACCUUUACUCUUGGUAUUGGGUGUCUCAGCAGCAGGUCCUACUGGUUGAUCAUCUAACUGUUUUAAAGCCUGGGAUAGUACUUUAUUCCAUCUGGCCAAGGUUGUACCUGUUAGUAAUUCUGCUGCUUCAGAAUUUUCUUCUUCAUUUCUACGAGCUCUGCUGCUUGUAGCUUAUAGGAGGGACAGGUUAUAACUUCCAUCCCUGGCAUUGCUCAGUGGGUUAAGGAUCUAGUGUUGCUGCGAGGUUUGGUGUAGGUUGCUGGCAGCUGUAACUCUAACAGUGAGGAGAGUUCUUCAAAUGGAGUAAAGAGACUUGGGAGCUAAACACUUUAAAUUAAAAAAACCCCAAUUAUACAUUUUCAUGAUAUAAAAUGCAGUUUAUAUGCUGUCAGUAAAUACAUAAAUUAAGCCAAGACGUCUCCUUGGAAUUCUAAUCUCAAAUAUUCAGCUAUUUGGCAUUUCUUCUUGCAUCUCAGAAGCAUAUAAGCAUUGCAAAUACAACAUGCCCAAGUGAACUUUGGGUACACACCCCCCAUCGCUCUCCGCAACACCUUUUUUGCCUACAUAUGGCAAGUUUUAUACUAUGAUAUUUAUCCUUUACCUGAUAUUUUAUAUUCCAUUUUACUUCAUCUUUCAAAAACUGACUUUAUAACCUGUUAAUAGGUCAAGACUUGAGUUUUGUUUCGUUUAGUUUUCUUUUUGGCUGCACUGGAGCAUAUGGAGUUCCUGGGCCAGGGAUCGGAUCUGAGCCACAACUGUCACCUAAGCUGCAGCUGUGGCAGUGACAAUCCUUAACCCACUUUGCCUGGUCAGGGAUCAAAUCUUGCAUGUGACCAGAAUGUCCCAAGAAGCCUUGGUGAAGCUUUUAGCACUUCAGAAGUAUAAAGGCUACUACCACAAACCAUAUCAUUUAGGUGUUUAAUUCCCUAUCUUUGUAGUAUUGUAACUUUUAAGGAAUACAUCAUUUGUUUGAAUUUUUGUGGCAGGUAUUCUGAGGGAAGAUGGCAAAGGUGGUUGGAAACAAGCACACCUUAAAUACUCAACAUUAAGUCAGGAUACAAUAAGAUUCCAUUUCUGGGUUGAGGAACGUCAAAAACUUACCACAUGGGAAAAACAGACUUAAGAUUUGCAACCAUGCGGAGGAAUCUGAAGGACAUCCUGCCAAGGGAAAUAAGCCAGACAAAGACAAAAAUGGCCCAUUAGCACUUCCAGGUGACAUCUACAAGGAAAAAAGUCAGACUCCUAGAAACAGAGGUGGCUGCCAGGGGCAGGGGUUGAGGGACCUAAGAGGCCAGGAACAGGGUACAGAUGCUACCUAACCCAAGUCUGCUCUGUCUGCCGCACGACAGGCCCAUAAAUUCAGAGACGAGGUGUUGGGACCAGGAACAGCAACUUGAAGCGGGAAGCUGGCAGACCGACAAGAUGGCAGACUCGUGUCUCAAAAACCCAUCUGGCCUCAGUCCCAAUUCAGGCUCCGCUUCUCCAGAGGGAAGGGGGAGGGGGAGGGGCCCAUGGUCCCUCCCUGUCACUUGCUUGGAGGAAGGGCCCACCGCAAUGCCCACCAGUGGCUGAGCCAGGGCCAUGAGGACACUACCUAACGGUUGCUCCCUGACAGAGACCCCGUUAGGAAAGGAAGGUUUUGGGAUCCAAUGUACAACAGGAGCUGGUACCACUGUGUGGUAUCAUUGACAUCUGCUGAGGAACUACAACUUCUAUGUAAACAGGUGAGGUGAGAAAAGGAUGAGAUUGUGGACAGAGGAGAUGCUGACCCUUUAUGUAUGUGUCCCUGGGAACCAGCCACAUGCCUGGGAGAGGAUCAGACUUCCAAAGGCCAGGGAACAGGUGGGUUCAAGCCAAGAUCUCCAAGAGACCUGCGGAACCAUGAAAUACCUGGCUUUCAGGUGUCAUGAUCCAAACAUUGACUAAGGUCUCCAAGGCCCAAGAGGCUGGAAGGAGAGAGCUGAGGGGCUGGGUGGUGGGGGAGGGGCGCUGGCCCAGCCUCCUCCUCUCCUGUCCCCUCCCCCGCCCUCCAGAACCCUUGUGAGGUAGCUGCCGUUCUCUGAUAGGAGCCUGUGGCUCCAACUGCCAGGUCAUUCGCAAGGUUCAGUUACCUGAGGGUAACAGGGCUGCUAUUUCCUGUGACAGCCUUGCGAGGAGAUGAAGAAUCUCCACUCUUCUGGGAACCAUAUGGCUGCUCCUUGGUGGCGCCCCAGGCCCGCUUCCUGGGUAGGUGAAACCAUCCUCGCCUUGGUGUGUGGACUGGGGCUCUUCUUCCUAUUACGCCCCUACCUCACGAGUGAUCCGUCCUCACUACCACCUAGGACACAUGGGAGCAUCAGGAAGCAACAAAUGGAGCCACUGGGGAGGAGGAGGAGGAGGAGCAUGAGACAGAGCGCUUUGAAAGCCUGCAGAGACUGCCUGCAACAGCUGGGACGGGUUCGGGGCCUGAUGGCACGUCUGCAAAGCCACCUGCGCAGAGGCCCUGACAGGGGCCGCUUUCACCACCACUCACGUCCGGACCCCCUUGGCGAGGUGUGCCAAGCAGUGCCCGCUGGAGCCCAGCAGCCGUGCAGGGAGCCCACACAAGAGGCUCUUCCCAC